ensembl:lncRNA
GAUUCCCAGAAUGUCAGAAGAAAAAAAAUUCAAAGGCCAGAUUUCCAGGUAUGUGUUUGAAAUACUGCUCAUCCUUCCCAUGUUUAGCUACAUUCCCAUCCUUCCCUUCCUUAGCUAUCUUUGAAGGUCACAGCCCCAAAUUAUAUCUGUAUAGUAUGUAUGGUGGAGGGAAAUGAGGGUGGAGAAUUAAGCCCCACCAGUGUUUUGCUCCACAGGAAUGGACUGAGACACGUGAACUCUCCGGGCAUUUUGAAUUUCCCUGGGUCCUGGGUACUCUGUGACUAGGAUUAUGUGAGGAAGAGUAAAGCUUUCUGGUGAUCUCAGCUGAGCACAUCAGAGUAAGUUACUUUUCAAAAGAAGAGAUGACCUUGGUAACCUCCUACUGAAACUCUUGUGUUUCAUCUUUAACAUCAAACAGUCAAGCAGCGACAUAACCCAAGCCACACCCAGGGUAAGACUUGCUCACAAAUGCACUUCUGCUUGUUUCAUGCAUGUUUUCAGAACAGUUCUGUCUAAUGUCACCAUUUUCUGUAAUCAGUCGUGCCUUUUUUGGUUACUUGGAGAGGAAUUUUGUCCCCCAAACCCUGCACCGAUGUUGUCUGUAAUGCUACAGCUGUCGUGAUAUUAACUCGGCUUCCAGGACAGUGACUGCUGAUGCAAUGAGCAGGCAAUUACUGCACUCUCUCAGAGUGACCAGGAGAAUCAAAAAUGUCUGCUUGAGUAUAUUACUUUAUGACAAAUUCUGAGAAUCUGAAUCUCUCUCAUGUUCACAAGACUGAACUACUCCGUAACAACCGCUCUUUAGCAUUUGGAGGAAAUUAAACUAAAUACAUCUUGCCAACAGCAAAUACUCGAAGGACAACUUUUAUUUUAAUUACUGUAGACAUAGAAAAAGGAGUUCUUUAAGGAAGUCUGUCAACUAAGAGCUAUAUAUAACUCUUAAGGAAUUCCUUAGUGAUUUUCCUGGUUAAACAGAUUUCCUUAAAAAAAUUGUUUGCUGCACAGGCUGGAAUUAUUGUAAAAUCAAAUACUCAUUUUUCAAAAGUCUGAUCUGACUUGUAAUGCUAACACAGCACAUAGUAAACACACACCCAUUGGACAAGUCAGGUUUGUCGUAUUGAUCUUACAAAGACUAGGCAUUGCAGAGCCAAUGUCUGUAUCUAUUGAGAAAAGGGCCAGAAUGAAGUGUUAACCACUGGAGUUAAAGCUCUUCCUCUCAUUGAUUUCAGUAAGCAUUUUUCCAGAUCCUUUCUAUUAAGCUCAGUGGUCUUUCAGGCAGGGCUGUGAUAUCCAUUGAAGCCAAAGAACAGCAAAGUUUGCCUGAUCUCUUUUGAGACUUCAGUUUCAGCUAAAUAACCCAGUGGACCAUUCUCUGAAUUAGCAUUGCAGAAUAUGUACCAGCAGUGAGGGUAUUGCUAAACUGCGAGCUAUCUGAGAGGUACUCCAGAACAAGGAAAACAACAAACCAUGCAAACUGCAUGCAGUCCUAAUUUUGUGCUAUUAUGAAGGAAAGUAUAUUUUUAACCUUUCAUUUCUUUCCAAACUCUGGGAUGAAUUUCUUUCUUUCUUAGCCUUACAUUCUCCUUAUGUAUGUAUUUCAUAAUUUGUUUAUUAAAAUAUAAAUGAAUAACAUUAGCUGUUCUGGUUCUUAACUUUGUAAGGAGUUACCCACUAUAGAUUUAUAGUUGUAACAUUAUUAUUUUAUGGCACAAUGCCAAUCUGCACUGCUCUGAGGAUUAGUGAAAAACCUCUGAGUAGACAUGCAUUGAGAUGAAUUCAGAAAGGAUGGGUAAAAUAAACUGAGAAAAAGGAACCA